CCUACGGGAGGCAGCAGUGGGGAAUAUUGCACAAUGGGGGAAACCCUGAUGCAGCGACGCCGCGUGAGUGAAGAAGUAUUUCGGUAUGUAAAGCUCUAUCAGCAGGGAAGAAGCAAGACGGUACCUGACUAAGAAGCCCCGGCUAACUACGUGCCAGCAGCCGCGGGAAUACGUAGGGGGCAAGCGUUAUCCGGAUUUACUGGGUGUAAAGGGAGCGUAGACGGUAUGGCAAGUCUGAAGUGAAAGCCCAGGGCUUAACCCUGGGACUGCUUUGGAAACUGGUAGACUAGAGUGCUGGAGGGGUAAGUGGAAUUCCUAGUGUAGCGGUGAAAUGCGUAGAUAUGAGGAGGAACACCAGGUGCGAAGGCGGCUUACUGGACAGUAACUGACGUUGAGGCUCGAAAGCGUGGGGAGCAAACAGGAUUAGAUACCCCUGUAGUC
rnacentral:rRNA from 1 species